rnacentral:rRNA from 1 species
UUUAGUAAGAAUUUAAUUUUGGUUCAGAUUGAACGUUAUUCAGUAGUUUUAAGACAUGCAAAUCAUUAUUUCUGAUAGUAAAUUUAGGUUUAUUCUAAGGAAUAAGGUGUAGAGGUGAGUAUGGUAAAUAAGAUACCCUAUAAGUCUUCAUAAAGAGGAGAUAAUUAAUCAGAAAAUAAAAUAAAAUUAGUCUUACAAAAUUUAUGAGUAUUUUCGUAUUGUAUUAAUCCAACAUUAAAAAAAAAUUUUUCAAUAAUUAAAUUAAUAUGAUUAUAACUAAUAUUAUUAUUUUUAUAAUUAUUCUUAUUUGACUAAUUAAGCAUAUUAAUAAUUUUAAAUAAUGUGUUAGUAAUAAAUGAUUAAGGUAAAAUUAGCUAUUUUUACUUUAAAAGGAAUUUUUCUGCUUUAGGAUUCUAUUUUCUUUGAUUAUGAUAGUUGGUAGUGGUAAAGGCCUACCAAGUCUACGAUCAAUAGCCAAGUUUGACAGAACAUAUGGCCACAUUGGGAGUGAAAUACCCCAAGUAAUAUAAAAUUACCAGCAGUCAAGAAUAUUAGUCAAUGCUCGCAAGAGUGAACUAGCUAACUGAAAUCUUAAUAUUAAGAUUAAGAUAAGGUAAGAGAAAAUAAUGAUAGAAUCUUACUAUAAGUGUCGUCUAAAUUUGGUGCCAGAAGACUCGGUAAGACCUUAGACGCAAACGUUAAUCGUCAUAAUCAGGCGUAAAGGGUGUGCAGGCGGCUUUAAAAAAUAUAAUUCUUAUAGCGAAAAAAAUUAUAUUCUAAUUAAAGCUAGAAUCUAAAAGAGGGUAAGCUAAACAACAUAAUUAAUUAGGACUGACAACUUAUAAUAAUGUGGAGUACUAAAGGUUAAAGCUAUUUAUCUACUUAAGAUUGACGCUCAGAAACGAAGGGGAGAAUAAGAAACUUAGAUUAGAGACCUAAUUAUCUCUCUCAGUCAACGAUGAAUGGUAGUUAUUAAAAAUAUAAUAACAAUGUAAUACAUAUUAUAUAAUUAUAUUAAUAUUAGUGACGAGGUUAACACGAUGACCAUUCCGCCUUGUUAGUAAGACUGCAAAGUUGAAAACAAAAAAAUUAGUCGGUCUUGAAGCAAACGAAGUGAAGCAUGUUAUUUAAUACGAUAAUCCGCGUAAAAUCUUACCAGUUCUUGCAUAUUCUUAUUAAUAUUUAUUUAAAUUGAAUAAGUAAUUGAAAGCAAUUUUCCGUAUCUAUUUAAAAAAGUAAAUUAUUGUAAGUAUACAGGUGUUGCAUGGCUGUCGUCAGUCCGUGUCGUGAGAAGUUUGGUUAAAUCCGUAAACGGACGAAAUCCCUAGUAUUAAUUUAUACUUAAUACAUAAUAGUGUUGAUAAGAUGCUAGUUGGGGCUAAGACAAGUCAUUAUGGCCCUCAUGAACUGGGCAAUAGACGUGCCACAAAAACUUUUACAAAAGGAUGCGAUACUGUUCCUAAAUAAAUUUUAGAAAUUUAAAUUUCUAAACUAAAAUUCAAGGAGUAAGGAGGAGCUAAUCAUUAAAGAAAGUUAACUAUUAAAUUAGUUGGAUUGUCAUCUGAAACUCGGUGACAUGAAAAAGGAAUUUCGAGUAAUCGUUGAUCAUUACGCAACGGUGAAUUAAGCAUUCAGGAUGAACUAACCGUCUGUCGCUGGGAAGGAGCUUGAUUUUAAGGAAGAUGUGUAUUGUUCUUAUUUUCUUAUUUACAAUCUAUUUGUUAGAAAGUAUAAAUUAACCUUUAUAUGAGUAUUCAAAUAAUAAUUCUAAGUACUUAAAUACUUAAUUAAUUAGUACAAAUUUCAAUUUUAAUUUUAAUUAUAUUAAAAUAGGAGUAUUAGUUUAAGAUUAGAUUUUCCUUAAUUGGAUAAAUAGUAUCUGCUUAUUGACUAUUUUAAUAUAUUAUUACUCAAUAGUAACAUAUAUAAUAAUAUAUAAUUUGGUCUAAUCUAAAGUUAUAAACGUGAUUGUUAAGAAAAAACUGAACCCAACGAAUUAAAUCGAGUAACAUCUCAAAAGUCAUAGCAAGGUAGCCGUACUGGAAGGUGCUGCUGAAAAAUAAAACGA